CCUACGGGUGGCAGCAGUGGGGAAUAUUGGGCAAUGGGCGCAAGCCUGACCCAGCAACGCCGCGUGAAGGAAGAAGGCUCUCGGGUUGUAAACUUCUUUUAUCAGGGACGAAGCAAGUGACGGUACCUGAUGAUUAAGCCACGGCUAACUACGUGCCAGCAGCCGCGGUAAUACGUAGGUGGCAAGCGUUAUCCGGAUUUACUGGGUGUAAAGGGCGUGUAGGCGGGAAAGCAAGUCAGAUGUGAAAACCAUGGGCUCAACCUGUGGCCUGCAUUUGAAACUGUUUUUCUUGAGUACAGGAGAGGCAGACGGAAUUCGUAGUGUAGCGGUGAAAUGCGUAGAUAUUAGGAGGAACACCAGUGGCGAAGGCGGUCUGCUGGACAGCAACUGACGCUGAGGCGCGAAAGCGUGGGGAGCAAACAGGAUUAGAUACCCUGGUAGUC
rnacentral:rRNA from 1 species